rfam:Aedes albopictus isolate Foshan contig72609, whole genome shotgun sequence.
UAGCCUAGUGGUUAAGGCUAUGGAUCGCCAAUCCGGAGACAGCGGGUUCGAUUCCCGU